GCGCUUCCGCCACCUCCCGGUACCGACGCCGGUGCCGACGUCGGCCAUGAGCAAGCGAAAGGCUCCUCAGGAGAGCCCCAACGAGGGCAUCACCGACUUUCUUACCGAGCUGGCUAAUUACGAGCGCAACGUGAACCGGGCCAUUCACAAGUACAACGCGUACAGGAAAGCAGCUUCGGUUAUUUCCCGGUAUCCCAGCAAGAUCCGGAGCGGGGCCGAGGCCAAGAAGCUGGAUGGAGUAGGUGCUAAAAUAGCUGAGAAGAUAGAUGAGUUCUUAUCCACUGGAAAACUACGCAAAUUGGAAAAGAUUCGACAAGAUGAUACAAGUGCAUCUAUCAAUUUCUUGACACGAGUUACUGGCAUUGGUCCUGCUGCUGCUAGGAAGUUUGUUGAGGAAGGAAUCAAGACUUUAGAAGAUCUAAGAAAAAAUGAGCACAAGCUGACCCAUCACCAGCGAAUUGGGUUGAAAUAUUUUGAAGAUUUUGAGAAAAGAAUCCCAAGGGAAGAAAUGCUGCAAAUGCAGGAAAUUGUGCUGAAAGAGGUAAAGAAGCUGGACCCAAACUAUAUUGCUACAGUCUGUGGCAGUUUUAGACGAGGUGCAGAGUCAAGUGGCGAUAUGGAUGUUCUCCUAACCCAUCCGAGUUUCACAUCUGAAUCAUCCAAACAGUCAAAACUUCUGCAUCAAGUUGUAGAACAACUGGAAAAAGUCCACUUUGUCACAGAUGUGCUGUCUAAAGGUGACACCAAGUUCAUGGGUGUCUGUCAGCUGCCAGAUAAAGAAGAUGGAACAGCCUAUCCACAUAGGAGAAUUGAUAUCCGGCUUAUCCCUAAAGAUCAGUAUUACUGUGGUGUACUGUAUUUCACGGGAAGUGACAUAUUCAACAAGAACAUGAGAGCUCAUGCUCUGGAAAUGGGCUUCACGAUCAAUGAGUAUACAAUCCGUCCCUUGGGUGUCACUGGAGUUGCUGGGGAGGCCCUACCAGUAGAAUGUGAAAAAGACAUCUUUGACUAUAUCCAGUGGAAAUACCGAGAGCCAAAGGAUCGGAGUGAAUAACUGCUUGUCUAGAUCCAUGGCUGUCCCACCAUCAUACAGUGACUUGGGAAAGUCUGCCAGGGAUGUCUUCAACAAGGGAUAUGGAUUUGGAAUGGUCAAGUUAGAGUUGAAGACUAAGUCUUCCAGUGGUGUGGUAAGUGUUGAGGGCUUUCAACAUCACCAGCAUUGCAAUGGAAGGACAAAUUCCUGAACUGGUUGGUGGUAAUAACUUGCUAGCAGGUAUUGCUUCUCUCUUUCAGUUCUCAUUUUAAAACCUGUAGCGGCCUGAGGUAUUUCUAUAAUGGUGUGGAACUGACGUAGUGGUACUUCUUUUCCUGCAGCGUGCAAGAAUUUUCACACAUUUUGUUGUGGACAUGGGGCUUUCCUCCCCGUUCCCAUUCCCACAUCCCAAACAUAAGAGUUUCUUCACCCUAAAUAGCUCUCAUUUCUGCUUAUGAAUGCAAUUGAGUUUCUCUGCUGUUGUUGUUUUUUAUAGGAUUUUGAGUCCAGACUGGCUUUUUACCCAAAAGGCCAAGGGGCAAAUAAGAGCCACAGUUUAACUUAACUUCAUUUUCACUCAUCUCCACUGUGCUUACAAUGCAAGAUUUAAAUAGUCCUCCUGCAGUACCCUUUAUGUAGAAUUUGAGAACGUUUUACAGAUGUUAAUUAAGCUUUAGCACUUCAGGUAACUAGAAAAUACCAUGAUCCCCACUUUAAUGAUGGAGAAGCGGAGCUUCCUCAUGAUUUUCAGGAGGGCUGGCAAAACCAGGAAUGGGUUUCAUAAUUUUGGUCUUUAACUACAGGCAUAUAUUGUUUACUAGAUAAGCUUACUCCUACACUGAGUCUCAGUUCUGUGUGUGCUACCACUUGAUGCUGUUGUGGUUGACAAGCCGUGCUGCUUUUCAGCCUACUUCAUAACCAUAUUUGCCUUAGCUCCUUCCUCCUCUUGCAUUCUUAUCAUUCAAAUGGUGUAAGUAAUUUCUUCUGUAUUACUGUAUUCUGUCUCAAUUGAGCUUUUGAUGGAUUACUUGCAUUGUGCACCAGGAACAUGUAGGCACGAGGAACUAUGUGGUCUCUAUACUAUGACUGCUACCAGUUACUGACACCUCACGAUAUGCAUAGUUUUCCCGUCUGGAAGUUUUGAUUCUCAAAUAAUACGCUAAUGAUUAAUUAUGCUGUCUUCUGAAUGUGACGGUACAUGAGCAACUGUAUUAAGUUUUAAAAUGGGCUUUUCCUUUUCCAUGCAACUUUCGUGUUGGAUGUUUAUCCAGCUGGUAAGAAUAGUGACUGUUUUGGCAUGUUGGUUCUUUAUUGCUUUGUCUAGUGAGGUUUUCUGUGGUGCCUACUGUCAUUUAUAAACUGUUCCAUUGUUUUUAGUCAUGUUAUCAUCCCCAUCAUGAAGUUUGACUGUGUCCAUAGCCCUUAAUCUGCUGUAUGAUCAAUGUAUAUAAAGCCAUUUGCAAUCUUUGUCCAAUAAUACACAAUAAGAACACUGUAAAAACCACAGGAGGGACAACAAGAUUGAUAGAGUUGUCUGUUACUUCAGGUUUUGUGCUUGUUAGUGUUUCUAAUGAGCAUUCUGCUGCAACAAAAUGAGAUUUUGGGGAUGGAGACGAUGUCAGGAACAACGUGUGAGAUCUAAUUCGUACUUGGGUAGUAAUAGUACCUCUAAUUGUUAUGAUACAGAAAUGUUUUGGGUGUUUUUUCUGUGGGCUUAGAAAACAACAGUGGUAGUGUCUAUUGGUUAUAAUUGUUUCAUAGAUUGCAAGUGGUUUGGCCUAGUAAGUGCAUGGUGUUUCUGAAGACGCCAGCCACCAUAAACUAGAAGGUCAGUGAGAAGCUGAGCGUGACUGCUGAUUCAGACUGGAGUGUGACAUGGAGCCAGAAUGAGUUUGAUUUUCAGCUACAAAAAAUUGAAGAAUUGCUUCUACACUAGAUGGUUUGAUGAGACGUCUCUAGUUUAGACAGUUGAAGACUGACAGUAGCAGAUGCUGACUGUGUGCCUUCUACUUCCAGAAGCAGAUCGAGUUCUGACACCUGGCAAAAUCCUUUGGCUUUUGAUCAUAUGACAGCACAGGGUUGGUUUUUUUUUUCCUUUGGCUGUGAGAAAAGCAUUUUACAAUCUUUCUUCUGCUUGGUCUGAGAAUCAAAUCAAGCCUUUUUAAUCGGUUACCUGCCCUAAGAUCAGAAGAAAGUUACUUCAGAAUUCUGGUGCAGGUUUGAGAUGUCUUUACACUGAAUUUGUGGAAGUGACAUCAGAGCAGUGUGUAGCAGUUAUGUCUUAAAGGAUAGCCUAAUACAUCCUGAUUUGCAUCACGUAUUUUUGUGUUAUAAAACUGCUGUGCUGUUGUAGUAGUGUAUUAGCUUGAGUGUCUUCCCCCGCUGGUGUGUAAGGAAUGUUACCUGGGUGUACUUCCCUGGCACUUCAAAACCAUUUAAAGACGGUUUUUGUACACUCUGCAAAGUCCAGAAUUGUGAAAGUAAUGUACACAGCAUCCAGGAAUACUGUCCUAGAAUGAAACAGAUCUGGAAAGUCAAAGCUUGGAUGUGUUGGCAAUGGAUACAUGGAUACUGCCAUCUCUUAAGCACUGGAUCUUUCAAUAUUUAAACUUCAAAAGAGGUGUAACUUGGAAAUGUAAUGGCAGAUUAAUUAUCCUUCUUCAAGGAAAAUGUUUGAGAGAUGAAGACAACAAAUGAGAUCAGUUCUCAGAUGCUUCUUAAAACCUAGCUUGUACACCUUGAGCUUACUACUGUGAAAAUAUGCCUACUCAUUCCUUUAUACUCUGUUCUGCAUGAAACACUGAGUAGGCUACCUCUGAGUUGUUCCAGGAGGAGAGAUAUUUAUUGAGACUUCAAGUCCCCUGAAUAACAGGAACCUCUGAUGUGUGGGGGACUACCCAAACAGCAUAGGACAGCAUGUUACAAAAUACAUAUUAUACAAAAUUCAAAGUUGUUGGUUCAGUUACACUAGUCAGUGAAGGACCAGCCUGAUGUCAAGGUGCCACUGGGGUCAGGUUAUUUUCUGAUGUUGUGAAGGAAAAAAGCUCUACAAUUUUAAGAUGCCUUACAAAGGGGUGACCUUCUAAAGUGUAGUAGCUGGCUGAGGUAAUGACAGAGAACUUAGGUUGAGGGAGGAGGUGCUAAGGUCAUCAGCAUGGUAUAUGAAGAGUCUUAAGUGACAACAGUAUAAAGGGUAGCAUGAACAACAAUGUUAGGGUGCAGUAGUCAGUGUGAAAAGCAUCAAUGACCAUUCUCCAG